rnacentral:rRNA from 1 species
AGUGAACGCUGGCGGUAGGCCUAACACAUGCAAGUCGAACGGCAGCACAGUAAGAGCUUGCUCUUACGGGUGGCGAGUGGCGGACGGGUGAGGAAUACAUCGGAAUCUACUUUUUCGUGGGGGAUACCGUAGGGAAACUUACGCUAAUACCGCAUACGACCUCCGGGUGAAAGCAGGGGAUCUUCGGACCUUGCGCGAUUGAAUGAGCCGAUGUCGGAUUAGCUAGUUGGCGGGGUAAAGGCCCACCAAGGCGACGAUCCGUAGCUGGUCUGAGAGGAUGAUCAGCCACACUGGAACUGAGACACGGUCCAGACCCCUACGGGAGGCAGCAGUGGGGAAUAUUGGACAAUGGGCGCAAGCCUGAUCCAGCCAUACCGCGUGGGUGAAGAAGGCCUUCGGGUUGUAAAGCCCUUUUGUUGGGAAAGAAAAGCAGCAGGUUAAUACCCCGCUGUUCUGACGGUACCCAAAGAAUAAGCACCGGCUAACUUCGUG